UACGUAGGGCGCAAGCGUUAUCCGGAAUUAUUGGGCGUAAAGAGCUCGUAGGCGGUUUGUCGCGUCUGCUGUGAAAGACCGGGGCUCAACUCCGGUUCUGCAGUGGGUACGGGCAGACUAGAGUGCAGUAGGGGAGACUGGAAUUCCUGGUGUAGCGGUGAAAUGCGCAGAUAUCAGGAGGAACACCGAUGGCGAAGGCAGGUCUCUGGGCUGUAACUGACGCUGGAGGAGCGAAAGCAUGGGGAGCGAACAGG
rnacentral:rRNA from 1 species